UUCUUCUCAAUCUCGAUUUCUUUAUUCUGUACUCGCAUUCUCUCCAAUUUGCUCAAGUGUUAUUGUCUUGUCUACUUGUUGUGCUCAUUUAUUUACUAAAGUUGUUCAUUAUUUAUCAAUUAUUAUACUUCAAUUUCAAGAUGUCUUCUUCUCGUGGUGAGGGUGUUUCAAGAAAGCUCAGAUCUAAAGAUAUACAAGUAAGAAUUUAUGAUUUCCUUUGGUUAAUUAUAUGUGAUUUAUGCUUGGAUCUAUAUCUAUACACACCUUUAUGUUUUUGUUGCUUGUGGAUUUUUGUGCAGAUUUAUGUUGAAUUCUCUUUGUUUAAUCUUGUUCCAAUUAAUGCCAUUGAGUUUUUUUCUUUUUCUUUUUUUUGCCUUAUAUGCCAAUUUGUUGUGAUGCCAUAAGGGGUCUUCAGUUUAUGGAGGUCUAAGGGUAAUCGGCAAUUUGAAACGUUUAAGCGUUUUAUUAUAACUAGAUUCGAUUUUUACCGAAUCUUGAAACGCUGAGUGGGCUCAAACUCAAACACUGAGAACAACUUAAAUUUCGUGAUAUAAUAUUUUGACAUAUUAACCAAUAUUAGUUGAAUUUCAUGAUUUAAAUAACUAUUAACACUUACUUCCUCCGUCCCAACAAAGAUACCCCUUCCUUGAACGACACGAGAUUUUAUGCAAUUUUAUUUUGUGUGUUGAGUGGAGAGAGUAAAGUAAGAGAGAAGUAAGAAAGUAUAGAUAAAAGGUGUUUUCAUUUUUUGUAACGAGUCAUCUUGAUUGGGACAAACUAAAAAGGAAAGUGAGUCAUCUUUAGUGGGACGGAGGGAUUACUGUAUUAAAGCAUAAGUAUUUGACAACUUUGUGCAAUGGUGAGCGUGCAAAGAUGAUGAUAGAGAUAUUAACUCGUAAAUCAAAAGAAAAGCAGUGGGGGUACAUGACCAAGAAUAUAUAAAAUGUUUCUGAUUCAUUCAAUGGUAAAUGAUGAGCUGAUGAUAAUUUCCAAACAGGCAUCAGAUAGUCCCAAAAAAUCAAUAAGGUGAAAUAUCUAUUUCCUGUCCAAUCUUCAUGGUUUUUUGGCUUGAAGAUGAAAGAAAUGCUGAUUUGUGUGCUGUGAAAGUAAAGCAGCAUUGCACAAAAGAGGACCACGUUUAUGAUGACCUCGAAACUCAGUAUUCCGUAGUGGAGCCAGCAGAAAGAGUGCAUGAACGUUUGGAAAACGAACUACCUCAUUUUCUGAAAUAUAUGCUCGAAUCAAAUGUUCAAAACGGAUUUUGGCUGCAGAAAAUAUUUGCCCAAACAUAACACAUGGAUUGUGUUGGUGGAUGAAUGGGGAACUGAGUACACGACAACUUACCUUUACAAGAGCCUCGGCUUGAGCGCUGGAUGGAAGGGCUUUUCCGAAGUGCACAAGUGUUUUUCCAUAUGACUGCGCCUCGCGAAUUUAAGGUACACAUUGUGAGAGUGCACGAUGACGAUGUUUUAAGUGCAGCACUCUGUCUCACUGAUAUGGAUGCUUCUGCGAAAGGAAGCAGCAGUGGUUAGAUACCUCUUUUCUUCUACUAUUCUACAAUGCAUUACAAUAUGAAUUCCAUAUCAAAAUUAAAUAAUUAGAAUUUGUAAUAGUUAUAAAAUUAUGCACAUUCUCAUGCACUACAUAAACAUAGCGCACACACAGUGCAUCAUUUUUAUGGAACAAAUUUUUUGGAAUUGAAUUGUAAUUUAAUUCCUUCAAAUUCAAUUCUGUAAUUCUAGUAAUUCCAAUUCCGUGUAUCGAAAGGAUCCUUAUGUAUUGUGUUGUCGUGGCAUACUUUUGAGAGAAGAUCUCGUGAAGACGCGGAAGAGGAGGGGGAGGAAGCCUAAGUACGGGGUGCCUUAUCAGCGUGACAUUGCUUCUCCAGUAGAGAACUUCAAAGGCGAAAACUCGAUCCUUUUUUCCUCGGAAAUGGUUCAAAAAGGUCCUGAAAUCACAAAUCCGGCCCAAACGAAUGACCUCUGCUACCCCGAGACAUGUUUUUUACGCGAUCAUGUUCAUGAGGGCGUCACAUGUAGAUAGCUGGGCAAAGUUUCGAGGUUGGUUGUAGGCGGUACGAGUUUUUGAGUGGAUCCCAUAUAUAUAGAUGCUUCAAACUUCGAUUUACAACGUGGAGAUGGUGUGGAAGAUGCAAAUAUUCGGAGAAAUCGUGGAAAUGUAGAAGAUUAGUUAUUUGAUUCUAUUGAUGGUAGAGUACUUGUCUAUAUCAUUAAGAGAAUAACUGGUGAAGCUGAAUAGAUAAAUGCAUAUGCUAUCAUACAGAAUCAAAGAAAACGAAUUACUUCCAUCAUUCAUUGUAUAUUUACAUCAAAAAAGAAUCAGAGCAAACAAAAUCAUAAUUACAAGGUUGGGGAUUGAUGUAUCCAAA